GGUGGCUCAAUGGUAGAGUGCUUGCCUUGCAUGCAUGAGACCCUGGGUUCUAUUCCUCGGCACCA
rnacentral:tRNA from 1 species